rnacentral:rRNA from 1 species
UACGUAGGGUGCAAGCGUUGUCCGGAAUUAUUGGGCGUAAAGAGCUCGUAGGCGGUCUGUCACGUCGGCUGUGAAAACCUGGGGCUCAACUCCGGGCCUGCAGCCGAUACGGGCAGACUAGAGUUCGGCAGGGGAGACUGGAAUUCCUGGUGUAGCGGUGGAAUGCGCAGAUAUCAGGAGGAACACCGAUGGCGGAGGCAGAUCUCUGGGCCGUAACUGACGCUGAGGAGCGAAAGCAUGGGGAGCGAACAGG